rnacentral:rRNA from 1 species
AGUCGAGCGGCAGCACGGGUACUUGUACCUGGUGGCGAGCGGCGGACGGGUGAGUAAUGCCUAGGAAUCUGCCUGGUAGUGGGGGAUAACGCUCGGAAACGGACGCUAAUACCGCAUACGUCCUACGGGAGAAAGCAGGGGACCUUCGGGCCUUGCGCUAUCAGAUGAGCCUAGGUCGGAUUAGCUAGUUGGUGAGGUAAUGGCUCACCAAGGCGACGAUCCGUAACUGGUCUGAGAGGAUGAUCAGUCACACUGGAACUGAGACACGGUCCAGACUCCUACGGGAGGCAGCAGUGGGGAAUAUUGGACAAUGGGCGAAAGCCUGAUCCAGCCAUGCCGCGUGUGUGAAGAAGGUCUUCGGAUUGUAAAGCACUUUAAGUUGGGAGGAAGGGCAUUUACCUAAUACGUAAGUGUUUUGACGUUACCGACAGAAUAAGCACCGGCUAACUCUGUGCCAGCAGCCGCGGUAAUACAGAGGGUGCAAGCGUUAAUCGGAAUUACUGGGCGUAAAGCGCGCGUAGGUGGUUCGUUAAGUUGGAUGUGAAAUCCCCGGGCUCAACCUGGGAACUGCAUUCAAAACUGUCGAGCUAGAGUAUGGUAGAGGGUGGUGGAAUUUCCUGUGUAGCGGUGAAAUGCGUAGAUAUAGGAAGGAACACCAGUGGCGAAGGCGACCACCUGG